CACGUAGGGUGCAAGCGUUGUCCGGAAUUAUUGGGCGUAAAGAGCUCGUAGGCGGUUUGUCGCGUCUGCUGUGAAAACUCAGGGCUUAACCCUGAGCCUGCAGUGGGUACGGGCAGACUAGAGUGUGGUAGGGGAGAUCGGAAUUCCUGGUGUAGCGGUGAAAUGCGCAGAUAUCAGGAGGAACACCGGUGGCGAAGGCGGGUCUCUGGGCCGAUACUGACGCUGAGGAGCGAAAGCGUGGGGAGCGAACAGG
rnacentral:rRNA from 1 species